rnacentral:rRNA from 1 species
GAUGAACGCUGGCGGCGUGCUUAACACAUGCAAGUCGAACGAUGAAGCCCAGCUUGCUGGGUGGAUUAGUGGCGAACGGGCGAGUAACACGUGAGUAACCUGCCCUUGACUCUGGGAUAAGCCCGGGAAACUGGGUCUAAUACCGGAUAGGAGCGCCUGUCGCAUGACGGGUGCUGGAAAGAUUUUUCGGUCAUGGAUGGACUCGCGGCCUAUCAGCUUGUUGGUGAGGUAAUGGCUCACCAAGGCGACGACGGGUAGCCGGCCUGAGAGGGUGACCGGCCACACUGGGACUGAGACACGGCCCAGACUCCUACGGGAGGCAGCAGUGGGGAAUAUUGCACAAUGGGCGGAAGCCUGAUGCAGCGACGCCGCGUGAGGGAUGACGGCCUUCGGGUUGUAAACCUCUUUCAGCAGGGAAGAAGCGAAAGUGACGUACCUACAGAAGA